ensembl:lncRNA
UUAUUUAGUGAGAGCACUUCUAUUGAUCUCCUUAGAGCCUGGAACUUGACUCGAAAUUGUCCACACACGUGGCCUGACUUUCAGCCUGCACUUCAGUAUCGCUUGCACCAGAGGGAAGUGAGGGCACGAUGCUGCUCUUCUGUCCUGGGGAGCAUUUGACACCACUUCACUGCAGUGUAAGUGGCUGCAGAGGGAUGUUAAGUCCUUCCUGCAGCCUUGACAGAAGCAGGGUGGUCAGCAGUCUGGUGGCGCCCAGCAGCACUCCUCAAGCCUUGCAACUACGAAUAUACCAAAGAUUGGAAUCUUUAAUUAUCCCACUUGAACCUGCAGAUGUACAGGAGCAAUGUCGAUCCUUUCCGCAUAGGUUCCUCCCUUCCCUUGGCUUGUCCUCACCAAACGGAGACCCCCUUCCAUGGUCUUUCCUUGCUGUCCCACACGUUGUGUUUUGGGAGAAUAGGGCAUGAGGAAAUGGUGUAACUUUUAAUAUUUCAGAGCAACGAAAUCCUCAGGAUCUGUUGUGGCUUUUACCUCAUACGCGUCAUGGAAGGCUGUUCCAGAGCAAAGCAAAGAGCAUCGCGGGCUGAUGGGCUCAGUCCUUCCCCUGCCAGACCUUCUGGUCCUUCCCACCACCUAUGCUGAAAUGUGCCUACUCUGUGUAUACUCUUGUAUUCCAGUCUGUAUUAAUGAAAGUACAUAGCAAUUGUACAGCGACAGAGAACAUGGGGUGCCAGCUUGGACUUCUUGUAUUCCGGUCCCUGACCCAAUGCCACCCGUUCGGCACAGGAACAAGCCAAAGCAUUACUUGUAUGUUUGGAGAUGCACUUUUAUGAAUGUAGUUUAUAUCGCUCUUUUUUAGCUCUUUUUACAUCAUGUAAACGGUGAUGCCUCAUACUUUUUUUUUUUUUUUAAUUUAUAUCGUAAAAGAUCAUAUUUGGUGAUUUUUAUAUAUAUCGACUCGACUGUUACGGGGUGGGGGGGGGAGGAUGGGAAAUAAAUCUGACGCCUUUAUGAAUUUAAAAAGGAAAAAAAAGCAGCUGGUUUUGCAGAGAAUUUGCUGAUGGUUUAUAACGAGUAGAGCCAAGCCAAAAUGCCUUCUUUGUUUCCUCACGGCCAUCUUGAUUAUGGAAAGGGGGAGAUCUGGGUUCCUAAGUCCGCUGCUACAGCGAAUAAGCUUGGGGCUGGCAUCUGUCCUGCAGUCCCUUUAUACAGCCCUGACAGCCAAAAAAAUGCAAGCAGACAUAAAUGUAAUGAUCCCCCUGACCUGAAUUACAUCUGGCCUCCUGAUCCUGGCACAAUUAGUUAAAAAUAGGAAUAAGCUUGCUCAGAGGAGGGUGGCCAGGCUAACAAUAAGCUGUUGUGUCCAUUCCAAAUGUCAUUUUGUGUUUUCAGCUGUUCCUUCCCGGGAGGGAGAUAGAGCGAGUAUUUAGUAUUGGGGCUCUUGAUGGAAGGUGCUGCAGAAGUGGGGAAUAUUCUUUUUUUUUACAAAAUAUGUCUUACAGGAGUGCUGUUAUCCUGAAACAGUUCAGACUUUGAGCAGGAAAAUGUCAGAGGUUGCCAUCAGAGAGGAGCCAUGGGAACAGAGGACUUGGCAAACUGUGAGCUGGUCAGGAAGCAAACUGUUGGCAUUUUGGUCUUGGCGUGACGAUUCUGUGCAUUCCAGGUUACUGGCUUCUUCUCCAGUAAAAUCUAAUAUCUGUCUAUUCUAAUUGCUGCACAUUGCAGCAAUUUGGAUUUUUUUUUCACAUUUUUGGAGUUGUACUCCGCAGGACUUGAAGGUACUCCAAGGAGUUCCCUUUGCCAUUAAUGACCAAAACAAAUUGACCCAGAGGGAAGUUGGUACCCGCUCAGGUGACACAGGUUAUUUCCAGGUGCCAAGAGCAACGAUAAUCUGUGAAAGCUGGGCAGGUGUGUAUCCUUAUCCCUGCUGUACACACCUUCCCUGGUGGGCAAAGCUCAGCUAUUUAAAGCUCUACAGGGAAGGGGCUGAUUCAGACCCCCAUGAUUGGUGCUUAGGUUAAUACUGCUGGGUGGAAAGAUUUUAUGUAUUUGGAUAUCUGCAGUGCUGUGGCCUGUACCUGCCCAUGGAGCUGGGAGCAUGCAGUUAAUGUUCUGUGGGUUAAUGGUAUUUGGGCUUCAGGUCUUUCAACCCCAGCCUUGUUCAGGAGCAAAUUGACCAGCAGCUCUGAAUUCCCCAGUUAGGAGAGGCCUAGGAGGUGGUUUAGAAAUGUGGAAAAGGACAUUGUUGCCCAUCAGUGCCUGCCUGACAUGAAUUGAGCAGAGCAGGGAGAAGUUGCUGUAACCUGGAUUGUGCAGAAGACCUUGAACCAGUAGUCUAUAUAUUCCGACCGGGGGCUUGCAGUGCAAAGCCAGGCCAAUGUAUCGUUUUAUUUACAAUAAAAUUAUCAU